GGACAUUGCAUUGCCCGUACUUUAAGCAAUGUUGCAUAUGAUUUGUUGAGCUCAGCACAAGGCAUUGUCAAUAAAAUCCGGGAAAGUGUGAAAUAUGUGAAGACUUCAGAAUCACAUGAGGAUAAAUUCCUGGAUCUUAAGGAACACCUUCAGGUUCCCAGUGAAAAGAGUCUUUUUAUUGAUGACCAAACCAAAUGGAAUACAACAUAUCAAAUGUUGGUUGCAGCUUCUGAACUGAAGGAAGUGUUUUCCUGUUUAGACACUUCUGAUCCUGAUUACAAAGGAGCCCCAUCUAUUCCAGACUGGAAACUUGUUGAGAUCCUCUGCACAUACUUGAAGCCCCUUUAUGAUGCAGCAAACAUUCUUAUGACAACAACUUAUCCCACUGCUAUUACAUUCUUUCAUGAAGUUUGGAAAUUACAUUUUGAUCUUUCUCGAGCUGUUAUGAAUGAGGAUCCCUUCAUUAGCGACCUUACUAAACCCAUGUACGAAAAGAUCGAUAAGUACUGGAGAGAUUGUAGUCUGGCUUUGGUGAUUGCUGUUGUUAUGGAUCCUCGUUUCAAGAUGAAGCUUGUUGAGUUCAGUUUCACUAAAAUUUACGGUGAGGAUGCUCAUGUGUAUGUCAAGAUUGUUGAUGACGGAAUUCAUGAGCUGUUUCAUGAGUAUGCAACCCUUCCUCUGCCACUAACACCGGCAUAUGCAGAAGAAGGAAAUGCUGGAAGCAGUAUGAAGAUGGAAGGAUCCUCUGGAGGAACUUUGUUGUCGGAUAAUGGUCUUACAGACUUUGAUGCCUACAUCAUGGAAACUUCUACCCAUCAGACAAAGUCUGAAUUGGAUCAGUAUCUGGAAGAAUCUCUAUUGCCACGAGUUCCAGACUUUGAUGUAUUAGGUUGGUGGAAGCUAAACAAACUUAAAUACCCCACACUUUCCAAGAUGGCCCGAGAUAUAUUGUCUAUUCCAGUUUCUACCGUUCCUUCUGACUCUAUCUUUGAUAAAAAGAGCAAAGAGAUGGAUCAGUAUCGAAGUUCCUUGCGUCCAGAGACAGUGGAGGCACUUGUGUGUGCCAAAGACUGGAUGCAGUAUGGUGCACCCGAAUCUUUGACUGCGCUUGUGAAAAUGGAAUUCUAGAUUUCAUGUUGUUGUACACUUGUACCCAGUAUGUUGGUAGGUUCUACUGUAUUUUACUUUUAGUUUUCUUUUAUGCGUUAUCUUGUAACAUAAGAGUGAUUAUUUUCGUUUAUUCGACUUGAAUAUUAAACUAUUAUGUAGCUUUUCUCUUAGAUGCUAGAACUAGUAAAUAGAUCCUAUUUUUCCCUAAUACAAGUAGUCCUUGAUGUGCAGCUCAAUCUGAUUUGUUCCAUCAGGAAUCAGCGUAAAUUUGAGGUGGCAGCGUAAAAGUUUGUUAGCGCUGCUAAUAUAGAAUUCACAUUCAGUUCAUCUCUUUUCUGAUUGUGAUUUUGCACACUUUUGAUUUGCCAUUGGUUUUUUUAUUUGGUGAUUUUACUGGGACUGCUCUCGUGGGGUGAAGUACUGUUUAGGAAAAACCAUGUCUUUGGCAAUGCUACUUUAUCAUUUUUAUUCACAUAUGUGGAUGGAGUAGUGCCAUGUUUCCAAUGAAUGUUUUUCACAUGGAAGGAGUUGUUCACUUACUUAAUUGCUUAAGCAAAAGUUUAGGACAAGAAUUCUCUACAUUUGAGGAGGGAAAGUUAUCUACUUUCUAUCUAGCUCUCUCAUCUUUUCCCUUCAUAUUACUCUACAUUUUUUUCUCCUUUUUAAGCAUAAAAAGUUUCGGCGUUUAUCAUACAUGACAAUAAGAUAAAUUUACUUACUCCCUCCGUUUCAAAAUGAGUGUCACUUUAGCCAAAAAAAAUUGUUUCAAAAUGAAUGUCACUUUACAUUUUCAAUACAACUUUAAUUUUUUUCUCCCAACUUUACCCUCAAUAAAUACUCCAACUUUUCUCUCACACAAUUUUCAAUGUAACUUUAAGUUUGUCUUUUUCUUGGGCAGUUUAGUAAAAGUGUUAUGUCCAAUUAUUAUUUCAUUUCAUUCCUUAAUUUGUGUGCAAUUGGCUAAAACGACACUCAUUUUGAAACGGAGGGAGUACUUGAUAUCAACUACUACCUCCGUCCCUAAAUAUAGGAGUCUUUUGUCAAAAUUAUGGAGAUUAAAAAAGUUGGUUGUAGUAUUAAAUUUGUAUAUAGAUAGUUAAUUUAUGUUUUCAACAUAAUAUUUAUUCUUGAUUGAAAAAAAGAUGCAAAAUAAAUAAGGGUAUGUUAGUAAAAAAAUAAUUAAUGUACUUGAAAAUACCAAAGGAAUCUUUUGGAAUAAUUUUUUUUCUCAAAAGGGUCUUAUAAUUGGAUACGGAGAUAAGUAACUUUAAUAUCAAUUUGUUUAGUUGUAAUCAUUUUCCACUAUUUUCCAUUGUGGUAUUUCGAUUACUGUGUUUAUACUUCAUUGAAAACCAUGUUUAUGAGUUUCGUUUUUGUUUCUUUAUGACAUGAAUAUGCAUUUGUCAAAGUUGUGUUCAUUACUUUUUGAAAAUUAUAUUUCAGUUGAAAUCAUUUUCCACGAAUUUAUGAGUUUUUUUUUUUUUUUUUUAUGACAUGAAUAUGUAUUUGUAUAUAUCUGUAAUAGUUUUCAAAUAAUUUACAUUUAGUUUUAUAACAUACGGAGUACAGGUUAAGAGUUAAGACUAUAUUAAAAAAAACAUACAGGUUAAAAUAAAGGCUUAAUACGGUGCCAGUGUUGAUUUCAUUCUAGAAUGGCAUUCUUAUCUCUUUAGAUUAAAAAAGAAUGAUUUUUCCAGCUACGCAGGCAUGUUAAUACUGAUUCCUUUGCUAAGAACAACCUUACAUGUAAGGUUCAUGAUCCUUUAAGAUCACAUUGUCAUCUGUUUAACUUCUCUAAUCAAACUUAUGGAGAAUUUCCACAUGGGAGCAGUUUUUCAACUUCAAGGAGCCCAAUUUGUUUUCAUAUACGAGGACCAUAAGACCAAGUGCAAUGGCAUGUUGAAUUUGCCAUUCAACAUGUUGAACCAUUGUAGGGGGGUGUUGAAAUGGGAAAAAACUGAGUUGGAUGAGAGAGGUGUUGAAUAAGUUCAACAUGUUUAAAGCCUGGCCUACAGAGACGCGUGGCGCGCUUGGAUUGCUCAAAACAGGCGCGUGAGAUACAAGAGAAAUGGAUAAUGUUGUGACACUUGACAUGUUUUGAUUGACUGCUUAGAUUUUUAUCUUCUUAAUAAUUUAGACUCAAUUACUCCCUCCGUCCCUAAUUAUAAGACCCUUUUGAGAUUUUUUUUUGUCCCUUUUUAUAAGACCCCUUUGUUAUUUUCAACUACAUUAAUUAUUUCUUUACAUACAUGCCCCUAUUUAUUAUACAUUUUUUUCUUCAAUCAACAAUAAAUAACAUGUUGAAAACAUAAACUAACCUUCUUUCUUAAAGGAUAAAAUUGUAAAAACAAUAGUGAUUACAAACAACUUUAAUACAAAUAUUCACUAUCUUAAUUCCCGUGAUUUUGGCAAAAGGGUCUUAUAUAUAGGGACGGAGGAAGUAUUUCAUUGCAAAUAAUUUUUUAUUUUUUUUUACCAAAAUUCGUAAUUUUUUUUUCUCUCUAUAAAUAGAGACUUGGAUCAUUUGAUUUGGACACAGAAAAAAAAUCAAGUUUUUCAUUCUCUUAAUCUUAUUAUUAGCUUUGUAUUAGCUUUUCUUUUGAAGUUUUAGUAUUUAUUUAGUGAAAUGGAUCACACUAACAAUCAAUUCAACACCCAAAAUUCUUCUGAUUACUCUUUUAGCUACCAAAAUCCCAACAAUUAUCAACACCCAAAUCAAUUUACCAACCAACAUCCUCAAAAUCCAAAUCAAUUCCCCAACCAACAUCCUCAAAACAUGUCUAAUUUUGGUUUUACCUCAAAUUUCAAUCACCUAUCCUCUGUUCCAAACAACUUUAAUCCAUAUUUUAGAUCUAUGAUGGGAUAUCCAUCUCAAACACCCCCAUUUAAUGGUUAUAUGCCAAUGGUGAAUGAAAAUUUUCAGAGUGUUGGUGAAUAUCCUGAAUUUUCAUCACAAAUAAAUCGUGGUGGAAUGACAAGAGAUAAUGAAGUCGCUUCAACUCCAGAGGAUACAACUCCUAAGAGCAAGAAAAACCACCAACCAUCAUGGAACACUGAACAAAAUUUGGUGUUAAUUAGUGGGUGGAUAAAAUAUGGAACAUGCAGUGUUGUCGGGAGAAACCAGACAAGUGAAGCAUAUUGGGGUAAAAUUGCUGAGUAUUGUAAUGAGCAUUGCUCAUUCGAUUCUCCGUGCGAUGUAGUUGCAUGCCGAAACCAUUUUAAUUAUAUUGGAGUGCUUACGUAGAUUCUGUAAAGGAAUCAUACGAUUGUAUGAGCAAGUGUACCUGAGAGCACCAAACCAAGAUGACCUUCAAAGAAUACCACAUGUUAGUGAAAUGUGGGGGUUCUCAGGGAUGAUCGAGAGUAUUGACUGCAUGCACUGGGAGUGGAAAAAUUGUCCUAAAGCAUGGGAAGGUCAAUUCACCAGGGGGGAUAAGGGAACCACCACAGUUAUUCUUGAAGCAGUUGCAUCUCAUGAUCUAUGGAUCUGGCAUGCCUUUUUUGGAUGUCCAGGAACGUUGAAUGAUAUCAAUGUUCUAGACCCGUCACCGAUGUUUGAUGAUGUGGAAUAGGGAAAGGCUCCACGGGUGAAUUUCUUUGUGAAUCAACGUCCCUAUAAUAUGGUAUACUAUCUAGCUGAUGGUAUCUACCCUUCUUAUCCAACUUUCGUCAAAUCAAUUAGACUUCCUCAAAGUGAACCCGAUAAGUUAUUUGCAAAACAUCAGGAGGCAUGUCGGAAGGACAUCGAACGUGCUUUUGGAGUGCUUCAAGCUCGAUUUAAAAUCAUCCGUGAACCAGCUCGCUUGUGGGACAUAGCCGAUUUGGGUAUCAUCAUGAGGUCAUGCGUCAUAUUACAUAAUAUGAUUGUCGAGGAUGAACGAGAUACAUAUGCUCAACGUUGGACCGAUUUUGAGCAAUCUGAGGGAAGUGGAUCUAGUACGCCGCAACCAUACUCGACCGAGGUGUUACCCACUUUUGCAAAUCAUGUGCGUGCUAGAUCCGAGUUGCGUGAUCCACAUGUUCAUCACAAAUUGCAAGCAGAUCUAGUGAAGCACAUAUGGACAAAGUUUGAAAUGUUUCGUGAUUGAAGAUGAUCUGUAUCGUACUAAAUAAAUUACUUGUGUGUUGUGUGCUUUUUUGUUAUCUUGCAUUUUAAGCUAUUUGUGUGACCCUACUUAGUUUGUUGUAUUGCAUUUUAUUUAAGUUAAGAAAAUAAAAAUAAAAUUUUUAAAUAAAUUUUGUUUUUACAAAAAAAAAAAAAAUGUUAAGUGUUUCUUCAUUUUAAUUUAAUUAUAAUCGAUAAUUGUAAUUUUAUGUAAUUAUAAAAACAAAAAUAUAAAAUUAAAUAAGAAUAAGAAAUAAAAGGUGGUGGGGUAAGGUGUUGAAUGAAAAAACCAUUGGAGAGGUAAAAAUUGAAUGAGUGUUGAAUUAAGAGAGAGAAAAUGAUGUGGAGUGUUGGGAAUUGAAAAAAUGGGUGUCGAGGAUUGUUGAAUAUUUGUGACCAUUGUAAAUGGUCUAAGUUGGAAGCACUACACUUUUUUUUUUUUUUUUAAGAAAAGUAAAAUAACCAUCCAUUAGAAAUAUUAAAACAAUAGUCUAAUAACAAAGUAUUUCUGCAAAAUUAAAAAUCGAAAGAUGGGUACAAAAGAAAAACACAGUAAAACUGCAAAAUUCUUGUAAUUUUCCACCUAAAACAGAGAUGUUCCUUUUCCCUUCUUGUCACCACCAAUCUCAAAGUGCUUACACCUCUUAAUUGCGUGUUGUGAAACAUGUUUGCAACCUUGACACUGAAGCCUCAACACAAUUUUCUUAGUAGUUUUUGCCUUUUUGUGAAAGACAGGUUUGGUCUGUCCACCAUAACCAGAUUGUUUACGGUCAUAACGACGUUUUCCCUGAGCAGCGAUGGAAUCCUUACCCUUUUUGUAUUGGGUGACUUUGUGUAAGGUGUGCUUCUUGCACUCCUUGCUUUUGCAGUAGGUUUUCUUUGUCUUUGGAACGUUCACCAUUGUUGCAAGGUGGUUUGAGAUCGGCUCGGCUGGGCAAACGAAGCAAGCACUACACUUUCAUGACAGCAAUAGUACAGAACCUAUUGUAUUAAAUUUUGUAUUUUUUUUUUUUUUUGGGUACAAAAUUUUGUAUUUUUCUUGUGGUGGCCCGAGUUCAAACUUCGAACAUUACAUAUAUUAUGCAUUGUCGAUAUCAACUAAGCUAAGUUCACAAGAACUAAAUUUUAUAUUUUAAAUUAAUUAUAAAUUUGUUAACUUUUUCAAUAAUUCAAACAUAUUAGUUCACAUAAAUAUUCACAUAUUUGCGUGUAGAGGGAUGUGAUUGAUAACUGUCAAAAUAACCUAUUUUUACUUAUAUAAUUUAUGGCAAUUAUUGACUUGACAAUAAACCCAACGAGAAUUCUUCAAUUCAAAGUAAAUAUUAGAUAGUCAGCUCAUGGGUGGUAAUUUUAAUUUAGGGGUGUUCAAAUCCAAACUGAUCUAAAAUAAAAUAGCAAAUUGAUAAAAAAAAAAAGAUCAAAAACUGCAAAAUUCGAAUAUUUUUGGAAGUGUUUAGUUUUUUUUUUAGGGACGAAUCGUUCAAAUGUUGUUUUGUAAAAACCACUAAGAUUGGAUUGGAUUUCAGAUCAUUUUUUCAAAACUGAAUCGAACCGCAAAAGUAAAUUUUUAGUGCUUAUUUAUUAUUGGGUUAAUUAUGUUUAAGGUUCCUACAAAUAAGCAAGCUUCCAACAUUGGUCCCUAUUUAAAUUUUAUUAAAUUUUUCAUCCCCAACGUUUUUUCCAUUUUUAAGUUUGGUCCUUGCCGUCAAACUGUGCAGACUAGGCUAACAGAAUGCUGACCCAGGCAUGCCACAUGGACAUUUCAAGUGGCAUGGCUACCAUGUGGUAAAUGACAUCAUAUGUUUUUGGUCUCAAUAAAAUUAUGACAUUUUAAGUUUAGUCCUUACUUAAUUUUAAUAGUGUUUUUAGUCCAUAUAAAAAAUUAUGCACUCAGUUUUAGUCAUUACUAAAUCUAAAUUUGUUUAAUCAUGUUUAAACUUUUAAGAUUUUGAACAAUUUUUUGCACAAGUAGUACCAGAGAGAAACAGUAACGCAUAUCUGCUUUUUUUUUUUUUCCGGCAAAUUCAGGGAAUGCCAGAAAUAUUUGUAGGGUGAAAUAUUUUAUGGAUCUUGAAGAAUAAAAAGGAAUGAAGGAUAGUGAUAGGCUUUGACAAAAAAAUUAUGGGAAAAUUUGUAACUAUCCUUAAACUCUUAAAAUUAUCAACGAUUUUUUUUUAGACAAGUUUAGAACAUUACAAAAAGUUUGUUUACUAAAAUUUUGAAUUUUCUUAAUAUUUGUGCAAAAAAUUGUUCAAAAUCUUAAAAGUUUAAGCAUAAUUAAACAAAUUUAGAUUCAGUAGCGACUAAAACUGAGUGCAUAAUUUUUUUAAAUGGACUAAAAACACUAUUAAAAUUAAGUAAGGACUAAACUUAAAAGAUCCCAAUUUUAUAGGGACCAAAAACAUAUGAUGUCAUUUACCGCAUGGCAGCCAUGUCACUUGAAAUGUCCAUGUGACAUUUCUGGGUCAGCAUUCUGUUAGCCUAGUCAACACAGUUUGACGGCAAGGACCAAACUUACAAACGGAUAAAAACGUUGGGAUGAAAAAUUUAAUAAAAUUUAAAUAGGGACCAAUGUUGGAAGGCCACUUAUUUGUAGGGACCUUCACACCCUAUAUAUUUUUUGUUACACCCAAUUUUUUUAAUUUUUUUUAUAAUACCGAAAUUGUCCUUUUAUAUAAAUUUUCUUAAAAUCUUGAUUUCAUUCAUGGUCACUCUAAAAUUUCACUCUCUUUCACCCACCAACGAUCAAACAAUUUUGAUGUUCAAUUAAUCUCUAUGGAAGAUUAAAGAGUGAAUCAAAACAUCUUUCAUUCAUACUCGAUUACACAUAAAUAAGUGAAUUUUUUCUUCUUUUUCAAUAACGCUGGUUUUAAUUUUCUUCUUCUUGUUCAACUGCACUGUACGACAGUUUCAGUUUUACAUUGUUGAGGUUAACUUAAAUUCAGUUUAAGUAGGUGCAUGUAAACUCAGUUUACAUAAUCUACUUAAACUUAGUUUACAUAACCUACUUAAACUGAGUUUAAGUAUGUACACUUAAACUUAGUUUACAUGACCUACUUAAAAUAAGUUUACAUGUACAUACUUAAACUGAGAUUACGUAGAAUCAUUGAACAAAGUUGAACUUUUAAAUGUACACUUAAACUCGGUUUAUAUGACUUACUUAAUCUUAGUUUAAUUUUGUACACUUAAACUCAGUUUACAUGACCUACUGAAACUAAGUUUACAUGACCUACUUAAACUGAAGAGGGAUUUUAGGGUGUAACCAAGAAAAAAGGCAGAUGCAUUUUGAAAAUUAAAUUUUUUGAAAGGGUAAUUUUGUCAUUUUUAGGUGCAACCAGAAUUAAACAGGAUGUAAUUAGAAAAACUCACAUAAUUAACCCUUUAUUAUUUUAUUUGUAUCAUAUAGUGCAUUAAUAUAUUGCUUGUUGGUAUUCAAUCUUAUAUAUUGCAUUAAUUUAAUCUAUAUUAUUACUACUUCGUAUGUUUCAAAUAUAAUCGAUUAUUUUCAUUGUGUAAUGUUAAUUUUUUAAUAAAUUUAUGUUAUAUUUUGCAUCAAACCUAUUAUUUUAUUGUGUAUGUGUAAUAUUAAUAUUAAUAUUAAUAAAAAAAAUUAGAUGUUGCACUUUUGAUAUCCAAAAAUUGAUCCAAAUUAAACCGCAUAUAUUUGGAUCGAAUCGAAUUUUUUUAGAAUAAUCAUUCCAACUGAACCCCGUAUGAUUUUAUUUUGAAUCGAUUUUGUCUCAAAACUGAUCCAAACUAGACCGCGAACACCCCUGUAUUUCAUGCACUAUCAUUUUUUUCUAAACUAGAAAGGAAAAAAAAAAAAACAUUCUUGGCAAUGUGCAUAUCAAAAAGUAAAAGAUAAAAGAAAAUGCAACAAAUCAUUACCCCAUUCCACAUACUUUUCUAGGUAGCAAACAACAAACCAUCAAAAUCCGCUCCCGCUGUUGGUUCCUUAAACAUAAAAUAAAAUCCGCUGUUGGUAAAAGAAAAGAUAGCGAAUCAUUACUCCAUUCCACUCUUUAACAUCACAAUUUACUAACUAGAAAGAACUUUCAUGCAAAUAUUCCAAUUGUAGAUAACGACAUGCAUGGAUCUAAAUUGGUAAGUUUAUUCAAAAUUGAUCAGUUUAUCGCUCGCUAUCCAUGAAUGCCCCUGACAUUGUAUGGCUUUAACUAGUGAGAUCACUAUAUCUCCUACAAAUCAAUUUUCCUCUUCCAAUUACUUAUCAGUCGAUAUUAUAACUUAUCACUAUAUCACUAUAGUAUCGUAGGUUCGGAGACAAACAAAUAAGGUAGAUCAUAGUAUUGUUAGAGCAUCUUUAUUUCAUUCUAGUCUCCAUAUUUUUUAUGAUGUAUCAAUUGCUUUGUAUUCAUCCAUUGAGUUUUAAUGAAAAUGGUUUGGAUAUUUUUUAAUACAUUUUAAUGGAUUGUAAAUGAAUUAAUAGACUAUAUUAUUGAUCAAUUUUUACAAUCCAGUCCAAAUUCAACCAUUUUGGUAUAUGCUGGUGGAUGUGGUUGUCUUAUUAGUGGUAAUUGUAUAUGUAAUUUUUUAAAUUAUUGAACACUCUAUUAUAGUAGUGUCUAUAUAGGAGUUACGAUCUUCUCCAUUUAUAAAAUAUAGAAGCUUUUGAGAGUAUUUAAAAGUUUCAAAUUUGGUUUAAGAUAGAUGUUUUUCGGUGGUGCCAGUUCAAAUGGAUUCUGAAUUGCUCAACCAUGCCAUUCAAGGUGAUAAGAAAAGUAUCUAAAUGAGCAAUAAAAUUCUAAUUUUUUAAAACCAAAAAUAUGAAUUUAGUGAACAUAAAUAAAUCGGACAAAAUUGUAGGUGAAGACAGGAGAAGAUGAAAUACAAUCCUACUUGUUUUCCUUUUUUUCUUUUUCUUUUUUUUUUUUAGAGAAAUCCUACUAGUUUUCCUGGUAGGCCAUUUAUAUUAUGUUUGUUACGCAUUUUUUUUAAAAGUAUCUUCAUCUUCUCACAGAUCUACACGUGGUGUACAAAUACAUGAUAUGUACUAUGAUUUUCACCGAGACGGAUAUAAUAUCUUUCAAGUCUUCAACACAUCCAAAUUGUCCGUGGGAGUUAAAAAAACUUUAACCGUUUUCUUGAAAGUAGAGUAUCAAACACGGUCUUCAUAUUGAGGUGACACCAGAAUUAACAUUUGAAGCUUCAACAUGAACGGAUGCUUCAUCAAUAUUUGGAUCUGCAUCAAUCAAAGCUUCAACCUUACAGUUUCAAAUCGCCGAAAGAAAUGACAAAAGUGACUCAACCAGAUCAUCAUCCGCAUUAUCAAUCAUAACUCUAAAUAAUUAACAUAACUUUGCAAUUAAUAAUUAAUUAAAAUGACAUGUGGAUGAUAUUUUAUUAUUCUCAGAUUAUUCAUAAUGAUGGUGAUGUAUCAUUUAUAUUUAGAUCAAUGGUUGAAAAUAAUAGGUUAUAUCUCUGUGUUCCCUCCAACUGCUAUCAUUGUUAUAUCGAAUUGAUUAAAUGUUAUUGAAUUGUGAAGAAUCAUUGAAUGUUGUUGCCUAUGACCUAAUAUUUUUGGUGAAUCGUUUGUACUGCUUCUGAAAUUGUGGUUAUGAAUUACAUGUCAAACAAACCUAUUUUUGGCUCGGCAGAGAUUGUAAUCACCACUCCUACAUUGUUGCCAAAAACAAUAGUUAACUACCGUUGUUAAAGCGGCACUAAUUAUAAGUGACGAACGACAAUUAAUUGUCAUUAAGAGUAAUAACAUCAUUUUGAGGUGUGGGAGAGCAAUUUUUGAAAUGGGAAGAGUAAUAUUCAAUAAAAGCACAAAAAUAAAAGAUUGAAGCUAUAUAAAACUGAAUAAAUUUUCUAAAAAAAAAUGGAAUAAAUAUUGGACCUUUUAUGAAUCCAAAUUAGAAUUAAAAAAAAAAAAAAAAAAAAAAGAGUGAAAAAACAUAAAUUAAAUCGGGGACAUGUAGCAUUUGUGAUCUUUAUCAUUGUAAAUAAGUCAAAAUCAAAACACAAACUUAACACAAUGCAAAUUAGAAUUAAAAAAAAAAAAAAAAAAAAAAAGUAUCGAACUAGCAUACAGUAGCGCGUCUCUCAAAUUUGGUCCAAUUAACACCGGAUUCGUUUCAAAGCCCAAUUUCUCUUUCUCUCUCUCUGAAAAGCCCUGGAUCUUAUCGGGUUCGUUUCAAGCCCAAUCUCUCUCUCUCUCUCUCUCUCUCUCUCUCUCUCUCUCGGAAAACCCUAGAUCUCGCUUCCGGCACCGCCGCAGCACGGUUCCAAGCUUCCGCUUCCGGCACUGCCGUGCCGCGUUUCGACAUUCAGAUUCUGUUUACUUAUAUCUGGUAUAUCUCCAACACAAACUUUCUGAUUUGUCAAUUUUUUCAGAAUUUUCUUCAUCUGAAUUUUUGAAAUUGUGUUUUACUUGUUCUUUAUUUUUAAUUUUCACGUUUAUGUUGUGUAGUAGUAGGAUUUGAUUUCUCAGAUUAAGCAUUUUAAUCUGAGUUGAUCGUUGAAAUUAGGAAGAUCGAUCGCGGAUUGCAUUUUGUUCCUUUUCAAUCUAAGUACUAGUUUUGCAUAUGAGAUCGAUUUAUUAUUACUGGGUUUUUCUUGAAGGGAAGUGCCAUGGACUUCUUCCGUUUUUCUGUUGGGUUUUUGUUCUUAUUGAACUGGGCCUUUCGGACCCAACUUUGGCCCAAUUAUCAUCUGGGUUCAUGGCGAGUCGUGUAUACUAGCCUUUUUUUUUUUUUUUGACAAAAGUCGUGUAUAUUAGCCUUAAUGACUCCAAUUCUGAUGCGUAACAUUUGUGAAUAUAUAUAUGUCGUAGAGUCUUUGGGCCUUGUUGAUAUUACCAAAGUAUAUUUGUGAUUCAUGUUCAGGGCUGCCUUAUGUGCUGUUUAUCCAUGUUUAUGUUAUUAAUGAAUAAUUAAUUAACUAAUAAUAUAGCCUUCUUUAGACUUUACCCCCACAAGGCACAAGCCAGCCAAGAGAAGUGAAUUAGUGAAGAGAGACAAGCAAACUACGCUUGUUGUCUGCAGACUGCAUGCAUGAGUUUAGUAUUCACUUUGAAACCAGAGUUGUUUGUUUGUUUUGUCAAGUAGCUUGACGGCAAGGUUCACACAUUUUAAAUAAGGAGAAAUAGAAAAUUUAUGAUUCGAACUCCGGUCCAUGCAAAUAUUAUCCUUCGUGGCUACAAACUGAGCCACACUUACGGAAUAUUUAGCCUUAUACAUUUUUAGAUAUGUUUAUAAAAAUAAUUAAUAACCAUGAUGUUCGUUCCAAUGAGAGGAUGUAUGGAAUUUUUCUUUCUUUGUCUUCUAUAAUUGAUUAGAGUGGGUUCGCACAUUGAAUUAUCUCCCUACAGUUCUUACUUUCCACUGAUGGGAAUUUAUCCCUCACUUUACGCUUUUCCAGAACUGUGCUGCUUAAAUUGCAUGCUUCAUUUAAAUUAGGAAAAAAAUCUUUAUUCUUGUAUAGUCAAACUCUAAAAAUUUAAAAAAAUACUCUUUCCAAUGCAAAAUCUUCUUCUUUAGUUUCCUUAACUAGUGCCUCCACUAGUUUACAAGACCGCUUUAAAUUAAUAGGCUUGUUGCUUUAGAUGUUUUAUAUUACUUUUCAUUAUUUGUUUUCAUGUAGUUCUUGAUUUCUUUGCUUUCCACUAUGUCAAAUACUCAUGGUAGUCGAAUGCGGUAUAUGUUUAAUUGUUUAUGUUAAUUUGAAGCCUGUAUAUUUUUUCAUGUGGGGAUUUAUAACUUGAUUGUAAUUGUAAAUGACCAUUAUGUAAAAUUUGUUUCUUUUGGGUAAAGCAGGAGGGCAUAAACUGACAGGAUGGCUACCCUUGAAGAAGCUGAAGUAGCUAUGUCCCCUGAUGUAAAAAACAAGCUAAACUGUACUUACUCUCAACCUAGCAACGACAAUCGGCCAAUUGAUUUGGAGGCAACACUUGACACGCCGAUGGAAAACUCUGAAGCUGCACCCGGCGAUCAGCUUGGUGAUUCAAAAGCUACUCUUGACAGGAAGUCUACCCCUGAGGCACCACCCAGCAACGACGUGGUCGAUUCUGAGGCAUCACCAAACAAUGGUGUGGUUAGUUCUGAAAUGCAGACAAGUAAUGAUGUGGUUGAAUCGGAAAAACAGCACAACAAUGAGAGGGUGCUUGCAUCUGAAACACAGCCCACUGAAGCAGAGCACAACAAUGAGGAGGUUGUAUCUGAACCACAUUGCAAUGAUGAAGUGGCCAUGUCUGAAGUACAGCCCAGCAGUGAGGUGGUAAUGUCUGACUCACAUCAGAGCAAUGAGGUGGUCUUUUCUGACACACAACCCAGCACUGAGACUGUCAUGCAUGAAGCAGGGAUCAGCAAUGAUGCAGUUGUGUCUGACACACAGCCCAACAAUGAUGUAAUCAUGUACGAGGCACAAAUCAGCAAUGAUGUGGUUGCAUCUGAAGCUCGGCCUGAGAAUGAAUUAGCUAAUUUAACAGUGGAUCCCAAUAAUCGACUCUCCCAUCAAGAAAUACUUCUUGAUAAUCACCAGUUUGAUAAUCUCCAUACGACUUCUGAAUAUCUACUGCCUCCACCUGAACCACUUCCUGAUUCUGGAUCACCCACUAACUCUGAACCUGUGGCAGACAGUCAUGACGCGGAUGAUAAACCAAUACCCCACAAUCACUUGCAAGAGUAUGAUACACAUCUCAACAAUCAUCUGGACCAUCAUGAGGCACUUGCCAACCAUCAGUUGGCAAACUCUGAAACACUCUCGCCUGAUCAGCUAGCCAAUUCCCAAAUGAUGACUCACUAUGACCUGGGGAAUAGUGAAACACUUCACGACAAUCGGCUGGUAAGUUCUCAAGCACACUAUGAGAUGGUCAAUGCUAACAAUUUCCCCAGCUAUGAAAUAGUUAAUGCUGAAACUUCGCCAAACAAUGAAGAACAUACCCCAGAAACACAGCCAAGUAAGAAGAGGAAAAAAAAGUCUAUUGUCUGGGAACACUUUACCAUAGAAACAGUUAGCCCUGAUUGUAGAAGGGCAUGUUGCAAGGAAUGCAAACAAACUUUUGCCUACAGUACUGGCUCAAAAGUUGCUGGUACCAGCCACCUUAAACGGCACAUUGCAAAGGGAGCAUGUCCAGCUCUUCUGCGUAGUUUAGAUCCUAAUCAGCAUGCUUCAUAUACCCCACGUUCAAGGGGAAGUGGUGCUGGCAAUGCUAACAAUACACCAAAACGACGUUAUAGAACUGCUGGCACACCUUACAUAAUUAUUGAUCAAGAUCGUUGUCGUCAUGAGAUUGCUAGGAUGAUCAUUAUGCAUGAUUACCCCCUUCACAUGGUUGAGCAUCCAGGAUUUGUUGCAUUUGUCCAAAAUCUGCAACCUCAGUUCAACAUGGUGACCUUUAAUACUAUUCAAGGAGAUUGUGUCGCAACUUACCUGACGGAAAAGCAAUGCCUUACGAAAUAUUUUGACGAAUUACCGGGACGUGUUGGUCUGACAUUGGAUAUGUGGACCUCAAGUCAAUCUGUAGGUUAUGUAUUUAUCACGGGACAUUUUGUUGAUAGUGAUUGGAAGUUGCAGAGGAGACUUCUCAAUGUUGUGAUGGAACCAUGCCCUGAUUCUGACUCUGCUCUCAGCCAUGCUGUAUCUGUCUGCAUUUCUGAUUGGAAUUUGGAAGGUAGGCUGUUCACAAUUACUUGUAAUCAGCCACUUUCUAAAGUUGCCCUUGAGAAUCUCAGACCUCUACUCUCUGUGAAGAAUCCACUUAUCUUCGAUGGUCAGUUGCUAAUUGGACAUUGCAUUGCCCGUACUUUAAGCAAUGUUGCAUAUGAUUUGUUGAGCUCAACACAAGGCAUUGUCAAUAAAAUACGGGAAAGUGUAAAAUAUGUGAAGACUUCAGAAUCACAUGAGGAUAAAUUCCUGAACCUUAAGCAGCACCUUCAGGUUCCCAGUGAAAAGAGCCUUUUUAUUGAUGACCAAACCAAAUGGAAUACAACAUAUCAAAUGUUGGUUGCAGCUUCUGAACUGAAGGAAGUGUUUUCCUGUUUAGACACUUCUGAUCCUGAUUACAAAGGAACCC
rnacentral:lncRNA from 1 species